UACGUAGGGUCCGAGCGUUGUCCGGAAUUACUGGGCGUAAAGGGUGUGUAGGUGGCGCGCUAAGUCGGGUGUGAAAUUUCGGAGCUUAACUCCGAAACUGCAUUCGAUACUGGCGUGCUUGAGGACUGGAGAGGAGACUGGAAUUCAUGGUGUAGCAGUGAAAUGCGUAGAUAUCAAGAGGAACACCUGCGGCGAAGGCGGGUUGCUGGGCCGACACUGACGCUGAUGCGCGAAAGCUAGGGGAGCGAACGGG
rnacentral:rRNA from 1 species